UACGAGGGGGGCGAGCGUUGUUCGGAAUUAUUGGGCGUAAAGGGUGCGUAGGCGGUUCCGCAAGUCCUGUGUGAAAUCUUCGGGCUCAACUCGAAGUCUGCACGGGAAACUGCGGGGCUUGAGUGUGGGAGAGGUGAGUGGAAUUCCUGGUGUAGCGGUGAAAUGCGUAGAUAUCAGGAGGAAUACCGAUGGCGAAGGCAGGUCUCUGGGCUGACACUGACGCUCAUGCACGAAAGCGUGGGGAGCAAACAGG
rnacentral:rRNA from 1 species